ACAUAGAUUUGGGGUGACACCCAAGUCCUCACUGCUGAUGUGAGAAGAAUUUUUGAUCAGAUAAGGGUUGCCCCCAAGGCAACCCACCUACUUUGUGAGAUGCCUGGGUUCAGUGGUCUGACAU
rnacentral:snRNA from 1 species